CUCAACCACUGCCCUGUCCUCCUCUGGAUCCCUGGGUGGGAAAGAACACAGGGCCUGCAGGUAUCACAGGAAAAGAAAGUCCACCACUGCACCAUCUGAAGUCGGCAUGCCCGGUGCUGGCACCACAGACACCAGUGACUUGGAGUCACCUAACAGUCUCCCUGCAAGUGCUGCAGCCCCUCCAAAGACCACUCCCACAGUCAAGUCCAGAGCUGGGAGCCGGGAUGACUAUGAAAUCCACACCCUCAUCACUGGCCUGGCAGCUCUGCACAUUUAGCUUACAUGUCUCGGGAUGAUUUUAUUUUAUUGUAUUUUUAUUUGAUAGACUUAAACUUAGAGAAAAGAAGAGAGGGAAUUAGAGAAUAAGAAAAAGAUACCUGCUGUACCUGUUUCACAGAUUUUGAAGCUUCUCCCUGCAGGUGGGGAGCAGGAAUUGGAACUCAGAUACACACACACUGUCAUGUGGCAAUGUGUGUGGUUAACCAGGGGGACAGCCACCAACAUUUGUUCUUUAUUUAAAUUUAUUUUUCAACUUAACUUUUUUCAUUUGGAGUUUUUUAUUUCAUUAUUUUACUUAGUUAUUACUAUAUCUAUUUUUAAUUUACUAGAUUAAAGCAUAUUUUAUUUUUUA